CCUACGGGUGGCAGCAGUAGGGAAUAUUGCACAAUGGGGGAAACCCUGAUGCAGCAACGCCGCGUGAGUGAAGAAGGCCCUUGGGUUGUAAAGCUCUUUAGCCUGGAAAGAAGUGUCCAUGAGUAAACAAUUCAUGGAUGUGACGGUACCAGGAGAAUAAGGACCGGCUAAUUUCGUGCCAGCAGCCGCGGUAAUACGAAAGGUCCAAGCGUUACUCGGAAUUACUGGGCGUAAAGCGCGCGUAGGCGGUCUUGUAUGUCGAUUGUGAAAGCCCUGGGCUCAACCUAGGAACUGCAGUCGAAACUGCAAGACUUGAAUAUCGGAGAGGGUGGGGGAAUACCUAGUGGAGAAGUGAAAUUCGUAGAGAUUAGGUGGAACACCAGAGGCGAAGGCGCCUGCCUGGCCGAAUAUUGACGCUGAGGCGCGAAAGUGUGGGGAGC
rnacentral:rRNA from 1 species